UACGUAGGGGGCAAGCGUUGUCCGGAAUCAUUGGGCGUAAAGAGCGUGUAGGCGGCCCGGUAAGUCCGCUGUGAAAGUCCAGGGCUCAACCCUGGGAUGCCGGUGGAUACUGUCGGGCUCGAGUCCGGAAGAGGAGUGUGGAAUUCCUGGUGUAGCGGUGAAAUGCGCAGAUAUCAGGAGGAACACCAAUGGCGAAGGCAGCACUCUGGGACGUGACUGACGCUGAGACGCGAAAGCGUGGG
rnacentral:rRNA from 1 species